UACGUAGGGUGCGAGCGUUACUCGGAAUUACUGGGCGUAAAGCGUGCGCAGGCGGUUCGUUAAGUCAGAUGUGAAAGCCCCGGGCUCAACCUGGGAACGGCAUUUGAAACUGGCGGGCUGGAGUGUGGCAGAGGGGGGUGGAAUUCCACGUGUAGCAGUGAAAUGCGUAGAGAUGUGGAGGAACACCGAUGGCGAAGGCAGCCCCCUGGGCCAACACUGACGCUCAGGCACGAAAGCGUGGGGAGCAAACAGG
rnacentral:rRNA from 1 species